rnacentral:lncRNA from 1 species
CAUUUAACAGGUGGUAGGCAACGAGACAUAGCGAUAGAAACGAUACAACUAGGAUGGCAUUGAUAGUAAUGAUAUCUAGGGAAAAGUUCAUCUUGCCUGAGAUCCCGCUUGGAACAAGAACGAAUCCGUGAAGCAGACGAACCAACAUAGCCGAACGGAUCCUCACAUUCCGACACGCUUGGGGAACUCUAUCGGGAAGAAACAAUCCGGAACAACAAUCAACACAUGGUAACACCACAACAAAUGAACGAUACGAUGCACAAUACAUAUGAUGCAUGUACGGUUUAAUUAUGCAAAGCACAACAAGGCAAUUCACAACAAUCAAACACUACACAUUAAGUGAAGCUCAAUAUGCAACGAGUUGCAUAUUGACGAAACUCCACAUUUGAUUUACUUAAUUCACUCCCGUUUAGGUACAAGACAACAUUAAAUAUUAUUUAAAUGACAAAAUAAAUGUCACCUUGUUG